GACGAACGCUGGCGGCGUGCUUAACACAUGCAAGUCGAACGAAGUGGCGAACGGGUGAGUAACGCGUAAUCAACCUGCCCUUCAGAGGGGGACAACAGUUGGAAACGACUGCUAAUAACGCAUACUGAAGGAGGGGAUUGCGUCUGAUUAGCUAGUUGGAGGGGUAACGGCCCACCAAGGCGAAGAUCAUGAGUCGGUCUGAGAGUGGGCACGGCCAAAGUGGGACUGAGACACGGCCCAGACUCCUACGGGAUGCAGCAGUGGGGAAUCUUCCGCAAUGGACGAAAGUCUGACGGAGAAACGCCGCGUGAGUGAUGACGGCCUUCGGGUUGUAAAGCUCUGUUAGUCGUGACACGGUACCGGAAUAGAAAGCCACGGCUAACUACGUGCCAGCAGCCGCGGUAAUUC
rnacentral:rRNA from 1 species